rnacentral:rRNA from 1 species
CGUGGGCAACCUGCCCCAUACCGGGGGAUAACACUUAGAAAUAGGUGCUAAUACCGCAUAAGCGCACGGCAUCGCAUGAUGCAGUGUGAAAAACUCCGGUGGUAUGGGAUGGACCCGCGUCUGAUUAGCUAGUUGGCGGGGUAACGGCCCACCAAGGCGACGAUCAGUAGCCGGCCUGAGAGGGUGGACGGCCACAUUGGGACUGAGACACGGCCCAAACUCCUACGGGAGGCAGCAGUGGGGAAUAUUGCACAAUGGGGGAAACCCUGAUGCAGCGACGCCGCGUGAGUGAAGAAGUAUUUCGGUAUGUAAAGCUCUAUCAGCAGGGAAGAAGAUGACGGUACCUGACCAAGAAGCCCCGGCUAACUACGUG